GUAUUGCUGAGGGGUCCCAUACUAGGACGAAACGGCCGUCUAGUAC
rnacentral:hammerhead_ribozyme from 1 species